rnacentral:rRNA from 1 species
GCAACGAGCGCAACCCCUGUNCCUUAGUUGCCAGCGCGUGCAAGGCGGGGACUCUAGGGAGACUGCCGGUGCCAAACCGGAGGAAGGUGGGGACGACGUCAAGUCAUCAUGGUCCUUACGUCUAGGGCUACACACGUGCUACAAUGGCGGGGACAAAGGGCUGCGAGCCGGCAACGGCAAGCCAAUCCCGUAAACCCCGCCUCAGUUCGGAUUGUCGUCUGCAACCCGACGGCAUGAAGCUGGAAUCGCUAGUAAUCGUGGAUCAGCUACGCCACGGUGAAUACGUUCCCGGGCCUUGUACACACCGCCCGUCACGCCAUGGAAGCUGUGAGCGCACGAAGUCCGUGUCGAAAUCCCGCAAUGGAUCAAGCGGCCGAAGGCGAGCGCAGUGACUGCGNCGAGGUCGUAACAAGGUAGUCCGUAGGGGAGUCCUGCGGCUGGAUCAACUNCAUGNCGNGAUCGCGAGUNNUCCUCCUCGGAGGGGANAGUCAUCUCGUAGUCGCUUCGCNUUCGAACACAUUCCUGUGCACCCCACUACUCGAAUUGNUUGAAUCCCCGACGGGGCCACCCUCCGGGGUGCCCCCCCUGCCCGGGGUUUCANGUUGGCCCUGGGUUUUUGAAACGAACCCGGGGAAUUUGUUUACCCAUUUGGGGGUACAGAAAUUCGGAUGGCGGGAAAUUUUAAUUUCGGAAAGGUUCCCUUAAGUCUUU